CCAAUAGCGUAUAUUAAAGUUGUUGCAGUUAAAAAGCUCGUAGUUGAACUUCGGGGUUUACCCAUUGGUCAGGCUUAAUUGUCUGCACUGGUGAGAUGAAUCUCUACCUUCUGAGGAACUUUCAUGCCAUUUAUUUGGUGUGAUGGGAAAUCAGGACUGUUACUUUGAAAAAAUUAGAGUGUUUAAAGCAGGCUAACGUCUGAAUACAUUAGCAUGGAAUAAUGAAAUAGGACGGACUGAUUCUAUUUCGUUGGUUUCUAGGAUCACCGUAAUGAUUAAUAGGGAUAGUUGUGGGCAAUAGUAUUCAAUUGUCAGAGGUGAAAUUCUUGGAUUUAUUGAAGACUAACUACUGCGAAAGCAUUUGCCAAGGAUGUUUUCAUUAAUCAAGAACGAAAGGUAGGGGAUCGAAGACGAUCAGAUACCGUCGUAGUCUUAACCAUAAACUAUGCCGACUAGGGAUCGGACGAAGUUAAUUUUAUAAUGACGCGUUCGGCACCUUACG
rnacentral:rRNA from 1 species